CUCAAGCAAAUGUGUUGUGAGCUUCCCCAAAGGCUCUCUUUUAUCUUUUUAUUAUGCCUUUACUUAACUUCCCGCUGCCGCCCACACUGGGAAAUCCUCUGCAUCCUCCUGGCUCCACCGAUAGUGGGGAUUGCAGGGGAGACGAGCAGGGCACGGACCCGGGCAUCCUGUCCUGCUGCACCCAGAGCAUCGCAUGAGCUCCCGGGCUCCACCACCACGGUGGGGACCUACUGCCAUCCGAGGGGGCCUGUGCUCAUUCCUUUGGGGGGCCAAAUCUAGGAGGCGAGCGCGCAUCGGAUGCCCGUCCCAGCGGCGUGCGGAGCCGGCGGGGGUAAGCGUGCCCGGCGGGGCACGGAGCGGGCGGAGGGGCUG
rnacentral:lncRNA from 1 species